rnacentral:lncRNA from 1 species
CUUGAACAGGAUCUGUUCUAUAGGAUCGUACCGUUGCAUCCUUGAUUAAUAAGGAGGCAAGCACUUAAGCCUGGUUGAUGUGUCAUGACCUUUGGGCCAGAGCGUGAUUAACGGCUAGGAUUGGCUCUGAUGUCAUGACCUUUGGGCCAGAGCGUGAUUAACGGCUAGGAUUGGCUCUGAUGCUUUGUCCUUAAGCUGUAGAGGAUCGUUCCCGUCAGGCUUGCUUGACUCGGGGUGGCCCAUAGGUUGUCUGACAGGCUCCUUUUUUGUUCUGCUUCCUGCCCGCCCGCCAGAACUGUCAUGACCUUUGGGCCAGAGCGUGAUUAACGGCUAGGAUUGGCUCUGAUGCUUUGUCCUUAAGCUGUAGAGGAUCGUUCCCGUCAGGCUUGCUUGACUCGGGGUGGCCCAUAGGUUGUCUGACAGGCUCC